UACGUAGGGUGCAAGCGUUAAUCGGAAUUACUGGGCGUAAAGCGUGCGCAGGCGGUUUUGUAAGUCUGUCGUGAAAUCCCCGGGCUCAACCUGGGAAUUGCGAUGGAGACUGCAAGGCUAGAAUCUGGCAGAGGGGGGUAGAAUUCCACGUGUAGCAGUGAAAUGCGUAGAGAUGUGGAGGAACACCGAUGGCGAAGGCAGCCCCCUGGGUCAAGAUUGACGCUCAUGCACGAAAGCGUGGGGAGCAAACGAGGAU
rnacentral:rRNA from 1 species